AUCAACUUUCGAUGGUAGGAUAGAGGCNUACCAUGGUGGUAACGGGUAACGGGGUGUUAGGGCACGACACCGGAGAGGGAGCNUGAGAAACGGCUACCACAUCCAAGGAUGGCAGCAGGCGCGCAAAUUACCCAAUCCCGACACGGGGAGGUAGUGACAAUAAAUAACAAUACGGGGUUCUUUCGGAUUUCGUAAUUGGAAUGAGUACAAUUUAAAUCUCUUAACGAGGAACAAUUGGAGGGCAAGUCUGGUGCCAGCAGCCGCGGUAAUUCCAGCUCCAAUAGCGUAUAUUAAAGUUGCUGCAGUUAAAAAGCUCGUAGUUGAAUUUCGGGACCAAUAUGUCGGUCGUGCCUCGGUACGUACUGGCAUCGUUGGUUUCUCCCUUCUGACGAACCAUGAUGUCAUUUAUUUGGUGUCGUGGGGAAUCAGGACUGUUACUUUGAAAAAAUUAGAGUGUUUAAAGCAGGCUCACGCUUGAAUACAUUAGCAUGGAAUAAUGAAAUAGGACGUUUGAUUCUAUUUUGUUGGUUUCUAGGAUCGACGUAAUGAUUAAUAGGGAUAGUUGGGGGCAUUAGUAUUCAAUUGUCAGAGGUGAAAUUCUUGGAUUUAUUGAAGACUAACUACUGCGAAAGCAUUUGCCAAGGAUGUUUUCAUUAAUCAAGAACGAAAGUUAGGGGAUCGAAGACGAUCAGAUACCGUCGUAGUCUUAACCAUAAACUGUGCCGACUAGGGAUCGGAUGAUGUUAAUUUUUUAACGACUCAUUCGGCGCCUUACGGGAAACCAAAGUGUUUGGGUUC
rnacentral:rRNA from 1 species